GCUGGGUGUGGUGCCGUGUGCCUGUAAUCCCAGCUACUCGGGAGGCUGAGGCAGGAGAAUUGCUUGAGCCCGGGAGGCAGAGGUUGCAGUGAGCUGAGAUCAUGCCACUGCACACCAGCCUGGGUGACAGAGCAAGACUCUGUCUCAA
ensembl:misc_RNA Metazoa_SRP Metazoan signal recognition particle RNA